AGAUUGAACGCUGGCGGCAUGCCUUACACAUGCAAGUCGAACGGCAGCACGGGAGCAAUCCUGGUGGCGAGUGGCGAACGGGUGAGUAAUACAUCGGAACGUGCCCAGUAGUGGGGGAUAACCCGGCGAAAGCCGGACUAAUACCGCAUACGACCUACGGGUGAAAGCAGGGGAUCGCAAGACCUUGCGCUAUUGGAGCGGCCGAUGUCAGAUUAGCUAGUUGGUGGGUAAUGGCCUACCAAGGCUGCGAUCGGUAGCUGGUCUGAGAGGACGAUCAGCCACACUGGGAUUGAGAACGGCCCAGACUCCUACGGGGGGCAGCAGUGAGGAAUUUUCGUCAAUGGGGGCAACCCUGAACGAGCAACGCCGCGUGCAGGAAGAAGGUUUUCGGAUCGUAAACUGCUUUUCUCGGGGAAGAGAACGGACGGUACCCGAGGAAUCAGCCCCGGCUAACUACGUGCCAGCAGCCGC
rnacentral:rRNA from 1 species